ACGGAGCAACGCCGCGUGAGUGAUGACGGCCUUCGGGUUGUAAAGCUCUGUUAAUCGGGACGAAAGGCCUUCUUGCGAACAGUUAGAAGGAUUGACGGUACCGGAAUAGAAAGCCACGGCUAACUACGUGCCAGCAGCCGCGGUAAUACGUAGGUGGCAAGCGUUGUCCGGAAUUAUUGGGCGUAAAGCGCGCGCAGGCGGAUCAGUCAGUCUGUCUUAAAAGUUCGGGGCUUAACCCCGUGAUGGGAUGGAAACUGCUGAUCUAGAGUAUCGGAGAGGAAAGUGGAAUUCCUAGUGUAGCGGUGAAAUGCGUAGAUAUUAGGAAGAACACCAGUGGCGAAGGCGACUUUCUGGACGAAAACUGACGCUGAGGCGCGAAAGCCAGGGGAGCGAACGGAUUAGAUACCCCGGUAUCCUGGCCGUAACGAUGGGUACUAGGUGUACGAAGGUAUCGACCCC
rnacentral:rRNA from 1 species